rnacentral:rRNA from 1 species
AAGCGCUUGCAGCCAGACUUGCCUGUAGUUGCUCAUCCGGGUUUUUACCCGGUGCACUCUUCUAUAGGCAGGCCAGCAUCAGUUUGGGCGGUUGGAUAAAGGUCUCUGUCAUGUACCUCUCUUCGGGGAGAACUUAUAGGGGAGACGACAUGCAACCAGCCUGGACUGAGGUCCGCGCAUCUGCUAGGAUGCUGGCGUAAUGGCUGUAAGCGG